UAUUUAGCAACGAAUACACAAAUAAGCUUAAAAUGCAUUUUUGCCAUAUAUUGAUGGGCGUAUGUAGCUGGGUAGAAGAAUCCCUUAAUCUCCCACUGAACUGCUGCCACAUUUGCAAGGGAACGUGGCAGCUCGCCAGGAGGCCUAGGCUGCUCCAUGCUCUGCAUGGUGCUGUGCUCCCCUGCCACACGGGGUGGGCGAGCGGAUGCAGCCCAGGGCAGAGGCUGCUGCCUGCCUCCAGCAGGGUCUUAAGUGUAAUUCUAGCAGAAGAUAACAAGACUUCUGCUCAUGUCAGAGGUGGUUUUUGGAUGCUGCUGGUGGUAUGCCCGAUCUGAGGGGACAGCUGAUUCAGCCACUAUGCAGUGCUGCUGGCCUGUUACAUCUGAGCAGCUCUCUGGAGCCUAGACAAGGUAAGAAGAAGAAGGGAGACGGAGCACCUGGAGCCCGGAUGCUGCUGCCUGCACAUCUUGCUAGCUGGGGGAAAGUGGUGGAUGAGGCUGUGUCAUCUGAGGAAACGUGCCCUGCUCAUAACAACAGGGGAGAGUAAUGGGAAUUCUCCACUUCCAAAAGCUCUGCAAGUUUUUAUUGAACCUCUAUGAAGUGCUUUCUGAGGGACAGGUAGCAGGGUCAGAUCCAUAACUGCUAUAUGCCUAUCCCACUCCAAGAAAGUUGGUUUACACCAGCUGAGGGUCUAACUGGAGAUGAUCCACUGGUGCCAAGUGGGAAUGGGAGACAGACACCCAAAACAAGUGUGGGAAGUGAGCAAUCCAACACGGUUUAUGACAAGUAAUAGAAAGCGAGAGUGGAGCCUGGAUUAAAAUAGACACGAGGGUGGAAGCCAGCAGCACUCAACUGCCUUGGAUGAGGUGAGCUAAGGCAAAUUUCUGUUUUGAAAUUCUGUUUUGAGAGAGACCCUAAUGGGUGAUGCUGAGGGCCUAGUGCUCCUUACCAUGCUCAUGUCAACACUGCCAUUCUACCCUUUCCCUGAGGUCAGGGCUGGCUUUUAGGGCCUAUGGCCUUGAAGAAGCCCUGUAGCAUGCAGUUUUUCAUGUGAGGCAGUUUUUCAUCUCAAGUGUUGGUGGAGGUCCAAGGGCCACUGGGACUGGUUCUCCCCAUUCACUGGAAAUGCCAUGUUCUUCCCCCUGCUGGGCCUCCAGGUAGCGUCCCACACCAAAGGUAAUGGUAGAAGAAAACUGCUUCAAGGCAUCAAGGUGACUUUUCCUCUGACAGAUUAAGACAAAGAAAAGUGUAUGAAAAUAAUUGAUGGGAUGUAGCGAACGGAGUUGGCAUCAUUUACAUACUGAAGUGACAGCAUGCGCCAUUCACAGGCCCUUUCCACUAUAAAUAAUGUUUUAUAGUGACAUAAA